rnacentral:rRNA from 1 species
UACGUAGGAGGCAAGCGUUAUCCGGAAUGACUGGGCGUAAAGGGUGCGUAGGUGGUUUGACAAGUUGGUAGCGCAACUCCGGGGCUCAACCUCGGCACUACUACCAAAACUGUUGAACUUGAGUGCAGGAGGGGCAAAUGGAAUUCCUAGUGUAGCGGUGAAAUGCGUAGAUAUUAGGAGGAACACCAGUGGCGAAGGCGGCCUGCUGGGCUUUUACUGACGCUGAGGCUCGAAAGUGUGGGGAGCAAAAAGG